GCGCGAUUAGCUCAGUGGUAGAGCGACCCCUUGACGUGGGGUAGGUCGAGGGUUCGAUCCCUUCAUCGCGCA
rnacentral:tRNA from 1 species